GUUUUAAAAAGGUAUAGCUGCAUCCAUGAUGGAUUGCCUACGUACCCUGUGAAGGGAUCAAGCCAUUCGUAGUUCUCAAUAGGUAUAAAGUUCUAUGUUUCUUGUGAAUAUCCCAAGAUCUCCCCCUUUUUGUGAAGUCCCUAAGGCACUUUAUAUAGGAUCCUUAAACCGCCUCCCUAGCGAUAUUCUUCGGAAGAUUCUUAUUUAUCCUUAGGUCGGUUCUAGAGGAUAAUCGUCCUAAGGAUAUUCUCCUUAUUCUUCGGAGGUUUUGGGGAGAUUUCCUGAUUUCGACAUUAUCUUCAAAGAUUCUCCUUUAUCAUUUCUGAAAGUCCCAUAAAAGAUCCCAUUUUACCGGAAAUGAUCCUUGGAGAAUGAAUGGUUUUUACAAGUCUUUGCCUCGCGUGUUCUUCACGGCUCGGUGGUCGUUUGAGAGGUGGCUUCGGGGCAAACGGUAUGUACCGGCUCGGGGCGCGCUUGAUGACUGUCCAUUAAGCUCAGUUGGCUGUCUCCCGAGCCGAUAUAGAUGUGUCCCGCAGCGUUCUCACGAUUGGCUCGGGCUGUGUUCAUAUGAUUAACACCCGAGCCAUUUUACAAACUCUCUUCGGGACGGUCGAUCGAAUAAGGUCCCGAGGUGCUUUGUUCUAGGCUAGGGGCCAAUCAUAUGUUUAACCAUGAGGUGAUUGUUAUUCUUAGACUGUUUGGCUCGGUCUUGCUUGUGGGGGAAUCCGACCCCAACGAAGUUGUACCUUGACGGAAGAGAGCACGAAUGGGAUCGGUGCGGGUGUCUGGAAAGUGCCUGAAGAAGGUUCAUGUGAUGAUCAAACUCUGGAAUGCUACUGGGAGUACUGACUGUACCAAAACCUCCUCCAACAGUGCCACAGGGAACAAGCAAGCCCCAUAUCAAUGUGUGAUGAAGUUGAAGGAGCAGGGUCGUAAGGUGGACUUCCACAGUUAGAAGGAGGCUUGUGUGAUGGAGGAGCUCCAUAUCCUUCGUCAUAGUACUGAUUUCCGGAUCUGAAUAAAGAAGCAUGGCAUCAUUUGGAAGUAAGAGAUCACAUGAGAAUACCAUCCCUAGAACCGAGAGAGAAAAGUUUAUGUUAAUAAAUUUUUAUUGUAUAAUUGAUAUUGAAAAACAUUAAUAAACAGUGUUCACAUAAGGUGUAAAUUCACCCCAAAAGCACUCUAAAAAGUAAAAACCAAAAGAGAAAAAAACAUAGAAAUGGUUACUUAAUAAUAUACCGAGUUUCAUCUAUUUACUUAAUAAUAUACGGUUAUUUGAUUUACCGGUUAACUAAAAAAUAUCUGGUUUAAUCGUAUUUAUUGUUGGCAAACACAACAUUGGGCGCGAAGUGGUUUUUGAUGCCCUUCAACAACAUUUGGGGGUUUCAUUUCAAUCGCAUUUCUAGGGUUUCUUUCUCUACGAUUCAAUAGAUUCGGACGAAUUGGGGGAUUC
rnacentral:sRNA from 1 species